GUGGGUAAAUUUUAGAAUAGCAUCCACCGAUUUCGGGGUUAAAAUGGGGGCACAAUUCCGAUUUCUUUGCGCCGCGAUUUGAAGGUAUCGUUUGAAAGAAGAAGUCCUCCUAAUUAAAAAAUAUAUAGGGUUAUAGGUACCGCAAACGCUUAGUUUACGAGAUAUUCGACCUUAAAGUUCAAAAAUCCCCAAAAUUCGAACAUUUCAACAAGCUAUUUACCACAUUAAACACUUUACUCACAUGUUUCACUUCAAAUUAAUUAAAUUAAACUAUAAACUUUUAAAUAAAUCCACAUUUUACACUUUUAUCAGUUUUUUUACCGAAGAAAUCUUUAUUUUAAAAAUUACAUUUUACAUUGGUAGUGAACACCAUGUGUGUGCUAAAAAUUGCGACGAAAUGGGGCGCGCCCAUGUGAUAAUAAGGAAAUUCGCUGAAAAGCCAUUUUUCCCAAAAAUUCCUCUAUCCAUUCAUGUGGAUAUAUUCUUUAUUUAAUUUAAUAAACAAAUAAGUAAUAUUGGUAAAUGUUCAGCGGAGCGGCUUUUCCGAAAACGUGCACCAAUUUUCACGGGAAAUGUCUUAAAAUACUCGUUUUUAGUUCUACUUUACGAAUAUGUUAGGCGCGUGCUUUUAAAAACAAUAUUUUCUUUGUUUUAAUAGAAAAACAUUGUAUUUCCCCAAAUCAAAAAUUCACUUUUGCACUUUACACGUCUUUAGAUGUUAAAAAUAUAUUUUCUAUCAAUUAUAUACACGUAAUUAUUGAUGCUGUUUAGUAAAUUAACAAGAGAAAUUGGUUUUUAUGUUAUUUUUAUAAAAAUAUGAAAAACUUCACGAUCACUUCACUUCAACAAAAAUGGCGAGGUAUGUUCGAAAUUAUGGCAUCACUGCGGUAAAUUCGAAUGGGUUCAUGAACUGAUCGUUUUCGAAUUAUCGAUAUUCUCAAUAUUCGGGUCUGAAAGAGAAUUGAAAGAAGAAGAAGUUGGACACAGAAGAAUUAUGAACGCCGGGGUGUUGGACCGACCAGGGUUAUUUUUUUUCGUGCGCUGAUUUUUAUCUUUAAAUUCCCACAGAUCAGAGGUAUUUUAUGGCAUCGCUUUACUUUAGACGCAUGUUUCUCAAAAUUGUUCACUCUACAAAAGUGCCCAGAGCAACAAAGUCGAAACUCACACCUGCGAGGAAUCUAAACCUGAUUUUUCCACGAAAUUCGCAUUUGUUCGCAUUUUGUAUACCUGACAAGAGCUAUAGCGUCUAAAGUCAAAGCGAUGCCAUAAAAUACCUCUGAUCUGUGGGAAUUUAAAGAUAAAAAUCAGGAUUGUAGGGUAUUUUCUAUGGAAAAUUUGUACAUGCCUUAGACCAGUUCUUAAUGUUAAUAUUUAGGGCUAAAAUUUUCAGGGACUUUUUUUUUGGGGUAUUUCCAAGGAAAUUUCGUGACGGGACUGAAAAAAAUUAUUCGUUCAAAAAAAAAAAACACCGUAAUGUAUAUAAAAAGAGAAAAAGUAUAUGUAGUUAAAAUUAAUUUCGAAAAUUCAUAGUAAUUGAGUAUUGUACAUUUGGAAUAGAUGAUGUUUUUGGUAAUAUAAAAAUGGUAAAUAUUUUACAUAAUAAAAAAAAAAUAUAAUUUGUUCAAUUAUUAUCUAAUUAACUCCAUUAAUAUAUUUCAUAAAAUAUUUGAUUUUAGAUUUAUAAAGUCACUUGACGCAAAAAGUGCCAAAAUGAUUUGCAUAACAUUUUUUUGUUUGAAUUAUUCAACUAAUUCAAAUAUUAUGACAGAAAAUAGCAAAAAAGAAAAAAAAACAUCAAACACAUGCGGGAGCUGCAGCACAUGACAAUUUUCAUUAGCUCUGCUGUGCUACCGCUCCAAAUUUUUUGCUACCGCUACGCCAGAGCAUAGCGCAGAAUUAAAUUUUUUGCUCCCGCUCCAGCUAUAGUUUAUUACCUAACAAAACUCGGAGCAGAGUAGAGCACAUACUUUACAUUGUUAUGCUAAGGCUAUGCUGUCGCUCCCGACAAAGUGAGAGAGAUUGCGAUAGUAUAGCAAUAAUUUUAGAAAUUUUGCUGCUACGGAGUAGUAAAUGAGAACCCUGCUCUAAACAUUAAAAUAAGUUUACAUUUCACUUUUAUUUUGUUAUAUUUUAUCACUUAGCACACUCAUCGUUGAAAAGGUUAGAUUGUUUACAAUUAUGAGGAAAACGAGCCUUGCCACAUCUUAAAGAGCAAAUAUGUAGGAUUUUUAACAAUUUUUUUUUGUUUGCUUUUCGCGUGAUUCUUUUUCUAUAUUAACUAUAAAAAAAUUCUUUCUACAUAUGUAUAUGUGUAAUAUGUGAUUUAUGUGACUGAAGUACUUUCGCAUAGUACUCCUUUCUGCGUUAAAAUAAAAAAUAUACACUCAGUCCUUUUUUUACGCGAUCUCUUUUUACGCUAUUUCACUUUAACGCGGUUAUUUUUGCAGCGCAAAUUCCUUUUUUUACGCGAAUUUCUCACUUUAACGCGAUUGCUUUUCUUCGUUUUUUGCUUGGUCUUAAACUUGCAGCAGAAUUGGAAAAUUAUUUUGUAGCAAAUGAUACUGAUGCCGAACGUGCACGAAUUUUUCAAAAAGAAUUGAGUCUCUGCAUGUUAAGAUAUAAAGAACUACUACAUCGGAAUUUAUUGGGUCCAAAAAGAAGCAUUCAAACAAAAUUAACUGAAUUUAUGGUGCAAACUCAA